rnacentral:rRNA from 1 species
CAUCUAAGCGGGAAACUCGUCUGAAGAUUAGGUAUCCCGGGGGCUUGACCCCCCUGUAGGGUCGUCCGAGACCAGGACGUUGAUAGGCUGGGUGUGGAAGUGCAGUAAUGCAUGUAGCUAACCAGUACUAAUUGCCCGUGUGGCUUGAUCCUAUAACCCUUGAGGUUGUA